AGAGUCUUAUACCAGAGUCUCUGAGUGUGUGGCAUGAACACACUGGACCCAUCGAAAGCAGCAAGAUGGUGACUCCAUCAUAGCUUUUUGGCCUUCUGCUCCUCUGGGUUCCAGCCUCCCAUGGCGAGAUUGUGCUGACCCAGUCUCCUGCUGUCCUGUCCAGGGCUCUAAAAGAAAGAGUCACCAUCACCUGCCAGGCCAGUCAGAAUAUUAACAAGUGGUUAGCCUGGUAUCAGCAGGAGCCAAGGAGAACUCCUAAGCUCCUCAUCUAUGAAGCAUCCAAGUUGGAAACUGGGGUCCCAUCACGGUUCAGCGGCAGUGGGUCUGGGACAGACUUCACUCUCACCAUCAGCAGCCUGGAGCCUGAAGAUGCUAGGACCUACUACUGCCUACAGUAUAAUAGCUACCCGCCCACUGUGUUACAGGUGCUGAUGGAAGGCAUUGAAUCCUCCUCUUCUGACCU